rnacentral:rRNA from 1 species
GGGUUGUGAGGUUAAGCGACUAAGCGUACACGGUGGAUGCCCUGGCAGUCAGAGGCGAUGAAGGACGUGCUAAUCUGCGAAAAGCGUCGGUAAGGUGAUAUGAACCGUUAUAACCGGCGAUGUCCGAAUGGGGAAACCCAGUGCAAUUCGUUGCACUAUCGUUAACUGAAUACAUAGGUUAACGAGGCGAACCGGGGGAACUGAAACAUCUAAGUACCCCGAGGAAAAGAAAUCAACCGAGAUUCCCCCAGUAGCGGCGAGCGAACGGGGAGCAGCCCAGAGUCUGAAUCAGCUUGUGUGUUAGUGGAACGGUCUGGAAAGUCCGACGGUACAGGGUGAUAGUCCCGUACACCAAAAUGCACAGGUUGUGAACUCGAAGAGUAGGGCGGGACACGUGGUAUCCUGUCUGAAUAUGGGGGGACCAUCCUCCAAGGCUAAAUACUCCUGACUGACCGAUAGUGAACCAGUACCGUGAGGGAAAGGCGAAAAGAACCCCGGCGAGGGGAGUGAAAAAGAACCUGAAACCGUGUACGUACAAGCAGUGGGAGCACCUUCGGGUGUGACUGCGUACCUUUUGUAUAAUGGGUCAGCGACUUAUAUUCUGUAGCAAGGUUAACCGUAUAGGGGAGCCGCAGGGAAACCGAGUCUUAACUGGGCGUUAAGUUGCAGGGUAUAGACCCGAAACCCGGUGAUCUAGCCAUGGGCAGGUUGAAGGUUGGGUAACACUAACUGGAGGACCGAACCGACUAAUGUUGAAAAAUUAGCGGAUGACUUGUGGCUGGGGGUGAAAGGCCAAUCAAACCGGGAGAUAGCUGGUUCUCCCCGAAAGCUAUUUAGGUAGCGCCUCGUGAAUUCAUCUUCGGGGGUAGAGCACUGUUUCGGCUAGGGGGUCAUCCCGACUUACCAACCCGAUGCAAACUACGAAUACCGAAGAAUGUUAUCACGGGAGACACACGGCGGGUGCUAACGUCCGUCGUGAAGAGGGAAACAACCCAGACCGCCAGCUAAGGUCCCAAAGUCAUGGUUAAGUGGGAAACGAUGUGGGAAGGCACAGACAGCCAGGAUGUUGGCUUAGAAGCAGCCAUCAUUUAAAGAAAGCGUAAUAGCUCACUGGUCGAGUCGGCCUGCGCGGAAGAUGUAACGGGGCUAAACCAUGCACCGAAGCUGCGGCAGCGACACUAUGUGUUGUUGGGUAGGGGAGCGUUCUGUAAGCCUGCGAAGGUGACCUGUGAGGGUUGCUGGAGGUAUCAGAAGUGCGAAUGCUGACAUAAGUAACGAUAAAGCGGGUGAAAAGCCCGCUCGCCGGAAGACCAAGGGUUCCUGUCCAACGUUAAUCGGGGCAGGGUGAGUCGACCCCUAAGGCGAGGCCGAAAGGCGUAGUCGAUGGGAAACAGGUUAAUAUUCCUGUACUUGGUGUUACUGCGAAGGGGGGACGGAGAAGGCUAUGUUAGCCGGGCGACGGUUGUCCCGGUUUAAGCAUGUAGGCUGGUUGUCCAGGCAAAUCCGGAUAAUCAAGGCUGAGGUGUGAUGACGAGGCACUACGGUGCUGAAGUAACAAAUGCCCUGCUUCCAGGAAAAGCCUCUAAGCAUCAGGUAACAUCAAAUCGUACCCCAAACCGACACAGGUGGUCAGGUAGAGAAUACCAAGGCGCUUGAGAGAACUCGGGUGAAGGAACUAGGCAAAAUGGUGCCGUAACUUCGGGAGAAGGCACGCUGGUGUGUAGGUGAAGUCCCUGCGGAUGGAGCUGAGACCAGUCGAAGAUACCAGCUGGCUGCAACUGUUUAUUAAAAACACAGCACUGUGCAAACACGAAAGUGGACGUAUACGGUGUGACGCCUGCCCGGUGCCGGAAGGUUAAUUGAUGGGGUUAUCCGUAAGGAGAAGCUCUUGAUCGAAGCCCCGGUAAACGGCGGCCGUAACUAUAACGGUCCUAAGGUAGCGAAAUUCCUUGUCGGGUAAGUUCCGACCUGCACGAAUGGCGUAAUGAUGGCCAGGCUGUCUCCACCCGAGACUCAGUGAAAUUGAACUCGCUGUGAAGAUGCAGUGUACCCGCGGCAAGACGGAAAGACCCCGUGAACCUUUACUAUAGCUUGACACUGAACAUUGAGCCUUGAUGUGUAGGAUAGGUGGGAGGCUUUGAAGCGUGGACGCCAGUCUGCGUGGAGCCAACCUUGAAAUACCACCCUUUAAUGUUUGAUGUUCUAACGUUGGCCCCU